AAAUAUUGAUAGAGAUAAAUUGUAUGUAUUAUUGAUUGAUGUGUUAAUUGUAAUUUCUGUCUAUUACAAACGGUUCCUUAUAUAGAUGUAGGUGUAGUGGAUGGUGUGUAGUGGAUGGUGAUAGUGGUGUAGUGGGUUAGGUUUAGUGGAGUAGGUGAGGUGGUAGUGGUGGUAGGUGAUAGUAAAUUCUAA